GACAGAGGGUGCAAACGUUGUUCGGAAUUACUGGGCGUAAAGCGCGUGUAGGCGGCUAAGUAAGUCGGGCGUGAAAUCCCUCGGCUCAACCGAGGACGUGCAUUCGAAACCGCGCGGCUCGAGACCCGGAGAGGGUGGUGGAAUUCUCGGCGUAGAGGUGAAAUUCGUAGAUAUCGGGAGGAACACCGGCGGCGAAAGCGGCCACCUGGACGAGGACUGACGCUGAGAUGCGAAAGCGUGGGGAGCAAACAGG
rnacentral:rRNA from 1 species